AGUGUGUGUUGGUGUAAGACACCUGGUAUCUUUAGGCAGCAUGAGUCCUUUGUAAUUACUACAGGUUCUGCAAAGAACUAUUACUCUUGGCAAGGACUUUAUUGACAUUCCCUUUAGCAAACAGAGACUCGGUGAUGUUCACGGCCACCAGCUCUCAGGAAAGGCUGUUGUGGGCAGCAACACAGCUGGACAUUCCUUUGCUUACUGAUGGGAGAUUCAUAAGGAUACUUGCUCUUGGAGCCCACCUGCCCUGCUGGGAGGUGCUGGGAACACCUGGAGAGCCAUGUGCAGCUGUGUGGCCAGCAAUCCCAGCUUUGUU
rnacentral:lncRNA from 1 species